UCCAUCACGAGAUGGAGUUUGAAGGAAGCCAAUGACAAAAUAAGAUUGCGACGAACAUAAACCAGAUUAGGGAUGAACAACUGAGUAACCUGGCGGGUUGACAGAAUAACUCGAACCCGGCGCACAGUGCCUCAGGGUUUGGUUUUGCCAAACCCUUUUGC
rfam:Coxiella sp. RIFCSPHIGHO2_12_FTLL_42_15 rifcsphigho2_12_scaffold_4172, whole genome shotgun sequence.